rnacentral:sRNA from 1 species
GCCAGGUGUGGUGGCACACUCCUGUAAUCCCAGCUGCUAGGGAGGCUGAGGUAGGAGGGUGGAGAGUUCAAAGCCAGCCUCAG